AACGAACGCUGGCGGCGUGGAUAAGACAUGCAAGUCGAACGGGACAACAUGUGUAGCAAUACAGGUGUUGUUUAGUGGCGAACGGGUGCGUAACACGUGGGCAAUCUGCCGAGAAGUGGGGGAUAGCUCGCCGAAAGGCGAAUUAAUACCGCAUAUGAUCAGCCAAGACAUCUUGGCGACAUCAAAGCCGGGGCAACCUGGCGCUUUUUGAGGAGUCCGCGGCCUAUCAGCUUGUUGGUGAGGUAACGGCUCACCAAGGCUAUGACGGGUAGCUGGUCUGAGAGGACGACCAGUCACACUGGAACUGAGACACGGUCCAGACACCUACGGGUGGCAGCAGUCGAGAAUUUUUGACAAUGGGGAAACCCUGAUCGAGCGACGCCGCGUGGAGGAUGAAGGUCUUCGGGUUGUAAACUCCUGUCAUUUGANAACAAGGUGCACCGGUUAACUGCCGGUGCAUUGAUAGUAUCAGAAGAGGAAGAGAC
rnacentral:rRNA from 1 species